rnacentral:sRNA from 2 species
CCUUAGCCCUUAUAGAAGUGGAAAUCCUUCUGUGAAGCUUUAGCGGAACAAAGAUUGUAACGAAUAGCAGGAAAUAGC